rnacentral:rRNA from 1 species
UUCGUAGGCGGCUUUGCAGGUGGGGUGUGAAAUCCCCCGGCUCAACCGGGGAACUGCGCUCCAAACCGCAGGGCUUGAGGGAGAUAGAGGUGAGCGGAACUCACGGUGGAGCGGUGAAAUGCGUUGAUAUCGUGAGGAACACCGGUGGCGAAAGCGGCUCACUGGGUCUCUUCUGACGCUGAGGAACGAAAGCUAGGGGAGCGAACG